rnacentral:rRNA from 1 species
GACGAACGCUGGCGGCGUGCUUAACACAUGCAAGUCGAACGGAAAGGCCCUGCUUUUGUGGGGUGCUCGAGUGGCGAACGGGUGAGUAACACGUGAGUAACCUGCCCUUGACUUUGGGAUAACUUCAGGAAACUGGGGCUAAUACCGGAUAGGAGCUCCUGCUGCAUGGUGGGGGUUGGAAAGUUUCGGCGGUUGGGGAUGGACUCGCGGCUUAUCAGCUUGUUGGUGGGGUAGUGGCUUACCAAGGCUUUGACGGGUAGCCGGCCUGAGAGGGUGACCGGCCACAUUGGGACUGAGAUACGGCCCAGACUACUACGGGAGGCAGCAGUGGGGAAUAUUGCAAAAUGGGCGGAAGCCUGAUGCAGCAACGCCGCGUGCGGGAUGACGGCCUUCGGGUUGUAAACCGCUUUCGCCUGUGACGAAGCGUGAGUGACGGUAAUGGGUAAAGAAGCACCGGCUAACUACGUG